UACGUAGGCAGCAAGCGUUGUUCGGAGUUACUGGGCGUAAAGGGUGUGUAGGCGGUUCUUUAAGUUUGGUGUGAAAUCUCCCGGCUCAACUGGGAGGGUGCGCCGAAUACUGAGGGACUAGAGUACGGGAGAGGAAAGUGGAAUUCCUGGUGUAGCGGUGAAAUGCGUAGAUAUCAGGAGGAACACCGGUGGUGUAGACGGCUUUCUGGACCGACACUGACGCUGGGACACGAAAGCGUGGGUAGCAAACAGG
rnacentral:rRNA from 1 species